CCUACGGGCGGCUGCAGUAGGGAAUAUUGGACAAUGGGCGCAAGCCUGAUCCAGCCAUGCCGCGUGAGUGAAGAAGGCCCUCGGGUUGUAAAGCUCUUUUGUCCGGAAAGAAAAGCAAUCGGUUAAUACCCGGUUGUUCUGACGGUACCGGAAGAAUAAGCCCCGGCUAACUUCGUGCCAGCAGCCGCGGUAAUACGAAGGGUGCAUACGUUACUCGGAAUUAGCGGGGGUAGUGCGUGCGUAGGGAUGUGAAAGCCCUGGGCUCAACCUGGGAAUGGCAUUGGAUACUGGCGGGCUAGAGUGCGGUAGAGGGUAGUGGAAUUCCCGGUGUAGCAGUGAAAUGCGUAGAGAUCGGGAGGAACAUCUGUGGCGAAGGCGACUGCCUGGACCAGCACUGACACUGAGGCACGAAAGCGUGGGGAGCAAACAGGAUUAGAUACCCCUGUAGUC
rnacentral:rRNA from 1 species